AACGCGAAGAACCUUACCUGGGCUUGAACUACUGGUAGUAAGUCCUUGGAAACAGGGGCUGAUCCGCAAGGAAGCCAGCAGAGGUGCUGCAUGGUUGUCGUCAGCUCGUGUCGUGAGAUGUUGGGUUAAGUCCCGCAACGAGCGCAACCCCUCUCUCAUGUUGCUAUCCCCGCAAGGGGAGCACUCUUGAGAUACUGCCUUCGAUAAGAAGGAGGAAGGUGGGGACGACGUCAAAUCCUCAUGGCCCUUAUGUCCAGGGCUACACACGUGCUACAAUGGCCGGUACAACGGGAAGCAAUACCGCAAGGUGGAGCCAAACCCUGAAAGCCGGCCCCAGUUCAGAUUGUGGGCUGCAACUCGCCCACAUGAAGGUGGAAUCGCUAGUAAUCGCGAAUCAGCAGGUCGCGGUGAAUACGUUCCCGGGCCUUGUACACACCGUACGUC
rnacentral:rRNA from 1 species